CGAAAGAAUUCAAUUUCCUGUAUCUUCCUUAAGCUCGAUCGAUGAUUCUACUUGUAUUCUUUCAAAAAAAACUAAACAUAGUUGGAGUAAAAGAAGAAACGAUCGUAAUAAAACAUCGUCAAUGAAUAAAUUAUAUCCACGAGAUAAAAUUAAGUCUGAACAAAAAGGGAUAAAGAUAAAACGUUUAUCUCCCAUAAAUAAA
rnacentral:lncRNA from 1 species